UACGUAGGUGGCGAGCGUUGUCCGGAUUUACUGGGCGUAAAGGGAGCGUAGGCGGACUUUUAAGUGAGAUGUGAAAUACCCGGGCUCAACUUGGGUGCUGCAUUUCAAACUGGAAGUCUAGAGUGCAGGAGAGGAGAAUGGAAUUCCUAGUGUAGCGGUGAAAUGCGUAGAGAUUAGGAAGAACACCAGUGGCGAAGGCGAUUCUCUGGACUGUAACUGACGCUGAGGCUCGAAAGCGUGUGGAGCAAACAGGAUUAGAUA
rnacentral:rRNA from 1 species